rnacentral:rRNA from 1 species
CCUACGGGUGGCAGCAGUGAGGAAUAUUGGUCAAUGGACGAGAGUCUGAACCAGCCAAGUAGCGUGAAGGAUGACUGCCCUAUGGGUUGUAAACUUCUUUUAUAAAGGAAUAAAAUGAGGCACGUGUGCCUUUUUGCAUGUACUUUAUGAAUAAGGAUCGGCUAACUCCGGGCCAGCAGCCGCGGUAAUACGGAGGAUCCGAGCGUUAGCCGGAUUUAUUUGGUUUAAAGGGAGCGUAGGUGGGUUGUUUAGUCAGGUAUGAAAGUUUGCGGCACAACCGUAAGAUUGCAAUUGAUACUGGCAGUCUUGAGAGAGAGUGAGGUAGGCGGAAUUCGUGGUGUAGCGGUGAAAUGCUUAGAUAUAGCGAAGAACCCCGAUGGCGAAGGCAGCUUACUGAGCUGUGACUGACACUGAGGCACGAAAGUGUGGGUAUCAAACAGGAUUAGAUACCCUUGUAGUC